AGAAAUUCAUCAUCCUUUUAAAAUACUCCAUUUCCUGAUAACGAAGGCAGGGCCAAACACAAAAUGGAAUAAAAAUAUUUCUUUCAUGAUUAAUCUAGUGCUUUUCUUUCAAAAGCUUAAAAAUCAUUGUUAAAACUGGCUCAGAACUUCACAAACAUUUGAGGUGAAUGAAGAGGCUUGGAAGAGGAAGCUGAAGAGUGGUGAUGCAGAGAAUUUGCAGGGAAGCCCAGGACAUCUUUCAGCUGAUGGGACCCACACAUGAAAUGUAGUCCAGAAAUGGCUGCAAAGAACUUUCAGCAUCAAUCAACAAGAUAGAUGAAGAGGAAGAGAGAAGCAGAACUACUUGCCCACAUAUGAAGUCAAGAGAUGGAGGAGUUGGUGGUUACGUGCUGCACUGCUUGGUGGAUACACGCCUGGCUAUAUUUCUCUCCUUUUCCUUCACUCCUUUGGUCUGUCAGAAAUCUCCCUCGUGCCAGGAGAGGCCAAAACUGAACUACUAUCAACAGGGCAUCUGGCAGGAAAUAAGCACCAGGUUGCAUUGUGAACUUUUAUGGUACUUGCAGCAUGGCCUGUUUU